GACGAACGCUGGCGGCGCGCUUAACACAUGCAAGUCGAACGGGGUCCUUCCUUCGGGAGGGUUCAGUGGCGAACGGGUGCGUAACACGUGAGCAACCUGCCGGGUGGUCGGGGGAUAACCCAGUGGAAACGUGGGCUAAUACCGCAUGAGUUCAGCCUUUCGAGUGAAGGGUUGAGGAAAGGUGCUGCAAGGCACUGCCAUCGUGAGGGGCUCGCGGCGUAUCAGCUAGGUUGGUGGGGUAACGGCUCACCAAGGCAGCGACGCGUAGCCGAUCUGAGAGGAUGGAUCGGCCACAUUGGGACUGAGAUACGGCCCAGACUCCUACGGGAGGCAGCAGUGGGGAAUCUUGCGCAAUGGGCGAAAGCCUGACGCAAGCGACGCCGCGUGCGGGAGGAAGCUC
rnacentral:rRNA from 1 species